UUAACCAAAACCAAAAAGAGGUAUAUUAUUGUUAAUAAUAGAAUUGAAAAAAUAAUUUUUCUGGUUAAG
rnacentral:tRNA from 1 species